rnacentral:rRNA from 1 species
AUGGAUAUGGAACACGGAAUGCCAAAAAAAUUAGGUGUACUUGCUGCUCAUGGAGAUGAGGAACCUCCUAAAACCCUCGAUGCUCGUUAUGUGACAGAUAUUAUGUACUACUUUGAUAAUCCAGAGAAAACCCCAUUCAAUUUGGUAAUGGGAGACACGUUGGAUCAACAUGAAUACUUUAAGGAUUAUCGCUUGACUCAAAAAGGGAAACUAUUAUGGGAUCAAAUUUAUAUGUUGAAAUGGUAUGCUAGGCAACUAUGCUUGAGAUAUGAUUAUACUUGUUGCUCUAGGAUGAAGGCUCCACACCUUCCCUUUUUAUGA